ACUGUCAAAACCUUUUUUUAGCUUUCGUUUUCGCAUAUUUUACUCGAAAAUGCAGCUGUUUUCUGUUAUAUGUUUCAUUGUAUUGGCAUCUACAGCACUUGGUAAUAUGUGCCCUGACGAUAGACCUUGCGAUGGUGAAUGUUGCAAACGAUUUAUAUUUGGACAGAUGUAUUGGUGCUGCAAGCCACCUUAUGUUUGUAGACGAGAGAUAAUUGGUUCAUCCUGUUUUCUAAACACCAUCUCGUCAAAUGAUGCCCCUGCAGAUGCUUUAGCUCCUAGCAUUUUUUCGGGAAGCAAUGACUUCGAUCAACGUUCAAAUUCGCCAUCUGUGAAUGUAUUGGAGGUUUUGAUGACAGAAAAUGAAAUGCGUAAAAUGGGACGCAACAGGAUGUAAUUUCAAAAGCUGAAAUUCCUGUCUCUUGAGACAAUUAUUAAAAAUACUAAGAGAACUGAUAACAGUAUGACACAAGAACCUAUC